AUGGCUUCUCAGCCUUUUGGCUAAGAUCAAGUGCAGUUUCUGUUCUUACCAGUUUAGCAUCCAAUACAUCCUCUAUCUGAGGACAAUAUGUUAAAAGGGCUUUUAGAACGAGGAGAUGGAAUAGGAGCUUGCUCGGUCCACUCCACGCGUGAUCUGGUAUUGCAGGACUUCCAAGAACGGUGCACGAGAA